UACGUAGGGUGCAAGCGUUGUCCGGAAUUAUUGGGCGUAAAGAGCUUGUAGGCGGUUUGUCGCGUCUGCUGUGAAAUUUCGGGGCUCAACCCCGAACUUGCAGUGGGUACGGGCAGACUAGAGUGUGGUAGGGGAGACUGGAAUUCCUGGUGUAGCGGUGAAAUGCGUAGAUAUCAGGAGGAACACCGGUGGCGAAAGCGCUCAUCUGGCCCAAUACUGACGCUGAAGCACGAAAGCUAGGGGAGCAAACGGG
rnacentral:rRNA from 1 species